AUGUACCCACCUACAUUCCGGUUCCUUCACGCCGUCCGCACCCACCUGGCGACUGCUCGCUACGUUUUGUUAGCC
rnacentral:sRNA from 2 species